GCCUGGUUGGCUCAGUCGGUUGAGCGUCCGACUUCAGCUCAGGUCAUGAUCUCGCAGUCCGUGGGUUUGAGCCCCGCAUCAGGCU
rnacentral:tRNA from 1 species